UGGCCUGAAACUGACACAUUCACAGGCUCAGAAUAAUAAUGGUGUCCGGGGGGAAACAGCAGCAGGAGGUGGAGGUUUGAUUCACCAGGCAGCACAGCAGGAUUCUGGGAACCAGGAUGGAGGUCUCCCCCUGCAGAGAGCCUCCAUCCAUCCAGCCUCCAGGACAUGACGCGGAUCCUCCAGGACGUCCACAGAGACCUCCAGUCCACCACGAGCAGACGUCAUGUCAGACAAACCUGCUCUGCAAAAACAACAACAACAACCUGUGAUGUAAAGAUGAAUAAUAUCAGUUCUGAUGAGGCUCUUCAGAUCUGAAAACUCGUCUAUGUGCUGCUUCUCGACUUCAGGUGUGACUGCAGGACUGAACUGAGUCUGCAGACAAAAGAAAACCUGGACCUGUCCGUCUUCGUUUACCCGCCGACGUCAAACCCGGAGAGGCAAACACGAGCAGCGAGGAGAGACGGCGUGAAUAAAACAUGGCCUCAGACACCAAAACACUCCAAAGGUGGGAUUUAUGGAGCAUCUCCUCCUUUUCACGUCCCCUUGACAUUUCAUUACAAAGUAAAAUAUCACAGAAAUUGGACAUUUCCUCCUGCUGGAGCUUUUCAAUAACAAGGUCCGGCUGAACGGCUGGAUAAUCCUGACAGGUGACAGACGGGCCUCGGAGAAGAAGGAUGGUCCGGUCGGGUCCCCAGCGAGUCGAGGCCCGCCGGCGCUAAAUGGUCCCCGUGAAUUUCAAUCGAGGCUCAAAGGAUUAAGAAGUAGCUGAGAGUUUCUCCACCGAGCUUUCUCAUGAGCAAGUCGCAGAGUUCAGUCCGAAACCAAGAGAAAGGAGGAUUUAUGGAGAAUAAAGGUGGAUAAUUACAAAAGAAAAGUUCAUUUAACAUCAAAUGUUGGAUGUUAUGUCCAGAAAGAACGUCCCACGUGCACGUCUGAACAUUUCCUUACUACAGUUUUCCUUCACAGAAGACCUUUAACCACACAUUUUCUGACUACUUCUAGAAAUAUUAUCAUUUUUUCCACAUCAAACAACUGUACUUUUGCAAACAGUAAUUUAUUCCUAUACAAUGUGUGCCCUUAAAUGUACACUGUUUAUACAUUUUUUAUGAUUUUUUUAAACAAAUAUUUGCUAUUUGGAAGAAAAAUUAUGUGAUUAUGGAAAAACUGUAUUAAUAUUUCAGUUGUUAUUUUACAGAUUUUCCUCUUUUGUUAAAUUACACAUAUCUAAUAAAAUCUCAGAAAAAAUAUUAAUUUGUAUUUUAAUUCUGAAAAAAAUGGCCCAAACUACUUCUUCUUCUAUUUUUUUUUUACAAAUAUUUGUCAAUAUUUGAAAGAAAAAGUCUGUAUUUUUAAGACUGAAAAAUAGUAAAUAAAUUUUUACAUUUUUAUUUUAAAUAUUUUCACUGUUCAUAGAAAAAGUAUUCAUUUACAUGUUGUCCACAUCAAAAAUUAAUAUUUUUUAAACAAAUAACUUAUCCUUUUAUGCCAAUAAACAGUAAAAUUAUACUAUUUUCUACUGUUUUAUAAUCAGCUUAAAAGUCUCAUCAUUUUACAGAUAUUCACAGUUAUUUGAAAGAAAAAAUAUAUAGAUGAAGAAAAAUCAUAAAUAUGUUCUUAACUAUUAUAUUACAGAUUUUCACUGUUUUGGUAAAUUACAGAUUUCUAGUAAAAUUGCAGAAAAAAUAGAUUAAUUUAUAUUGUAAUUUUUUUUUAAAAAAUGACCCAAAAUCAUUCAAAAAUCUACAUUUUCAGAAUUUGUGAUUUGUUCUUUUACAUUCUGACAAUAAAAUUAGACAAUUUUACUGCAUUUAAUCUGCGAUAAAAAUAUAUGUAUUCAAUUUUUUUUACAAAUGUUUAUUACAAAGAAAAAUAAUGUAUAAUAAAGAUUGAAAAAUAGUAAAAAGUUUAAAUACUAUUUUACAGGAUUUCCCUGCUCACAGAAAAAGCAUUAAAAUACACAUUAAUCAUAAAAACAACAGCCUGAAACGGCACAUAAUAACGUCCACAUCAGUAAAUAAGAAUCAGUUAUUUUACAAUGUAAAAAGUUUUCCUGUAUUCAUCAUUUGAAAUAUUAUCUUAAAGAGAUUCCCUGUUAUUUUCACAGUUUUUGAGCAUUAUAUUUAUCUCAGCACUGGUGUGCCGCACAAACAUACUCCGGCAAACAACUACGUACAUUUACUCAAGUACUGUCAUUACGUACUGUUUUGAGGUACUUUUACUUUGCAGUUUUGGACUUUUAUUUGUUGAGAAUAAUUUCAUCAGGAGUUCUCGUAACUGUAAAAGAUCGAUGCAAAUGGUUGUGUAAAUUUAGCUUUUUGUUGUU